UUUGGUCCCUCUAGUGCAGUCAGUUUAGUUCAGAGCUGCAAGGGAAGUAGUCAGUUUCCCGCGUCUUGUCUGCAUUUUCAUCCGCACACACGAAUUAUUAUUAAGCCUAGUCGCAUGUGACCACUGUAGUGCUGCCGUUAAAUAUAUGUCAGUUCAUAAGUUGAAAGUUGGGUGUUGACGGUGUCAACAUGGGCAUUGGAGCUUCUCACUGUUGUGUAAGAAAAUUCGGAUUCUAGGAAUUAAGAUGUUGCAGUGAACGAUUUGAAUCGUAGAACUUGUUAAUAAUUGGAACAGACUUGGGUCAGUAUGGUUCUUUCUUAAAGUAAAAUAAAUAUGUUUUUGAGCGUAACACUCCAUGGCCAUCUUCCGUAAUGCGGAAGUGUUCGUGGAGUUUCCGAGAAAAAACGGAACGAAUGUUAAAAGACUUGUGCUGAGAACAACAAUGCAGUGCAGUGCUACAAUGACAGCUUCAUGUUGCUGGGUGAAAGCUGUAUUAUUUGUGAUGUGCCUAGUGGACCUGUGUUAUGGUAACCUUAACCUGUACCUCAGUCAGUGGGAAGUCAGGCGAUUGCUUGGCCUGCAGGCGGAGCUGUUCUACGUCAGGGAGGGGGUCAUUAAUGAGUACGCCCUCAACUUCGUGGUUCCGGUUCCGGCGCACAUCAACGACCUUCACUUCACGUGGCAGAGCCUAGCUGGUCGACCGCUGCCGUACCACAUUGCUGUGGACGUGUCCAACAGGGAGGCGCUAGACACACCUCGCCUCAACGUGUCUGCGGAAGGCAACGUUCCUACCACACCUCAGACGUUUCGCGUCGCACUACCAUGCAGUGGCGUGAAGGAUGCCGAAGUAAACGUGACACUGAGCAUCAACAUCACGCUGCACCGUGCGUCCAACAAUGUUACGUCGUUAGUUUUCAAGCGUCGCAAGAUCUGCCUCAAAGAUAACGGUUUUGGCGGAAUGAGUCAAGUUGUGGUUGUGGAUUCUCCGCCAGCUGAGAUCACUUCUGCCAGCAUAUUCUAUAUCGCCGUGGGAUGCGCAUGCGCACUUAUAACAGUUAUCGUCAUCGUGGUCACAGCCUACUACGUUCGCAACAAUAAAGCGAGAAGACAAGGCGAAAUGUUGCAGGAAUCCCGGAACGGUUCGAGCAGCAGUGCCCAAGGCCACGCGACCUUCCUAACGGCGGACACGCCGCUUCCCAACAACAACUUCACCGGCACCUCGGCCUCCAGCUGCAAGUCCGGGGCGAGCUACGUCAGCUUCAAGAGGCUGCCCAGUUACACUGUCCUGGACGAUCGGGCGGGAAAGGACAUCCACGAGCGCAUCGCUGAGCUCACAAUACAGAGGUGUCGAGUGCGGCUGCGCAGUGUCGUGCUCGAAGGCACCUUUGGCCGUGUGUACCGCGGUACAUAUACUGAAGAAGAGGGCGUCGAAGAAGACGUUCUGGUUAAGACUGUCACUGAUCAUGCAAGUCAAGUACAGGUGUCCUUGCUGCUUCAAGAAGGGAUGACCAUGUACAGCCUGAGUCAUAAGAAUGUUCUCUCCGUUCUUGGGGUAUCCAUUGAGGACCACACAGCCCCAUUCCUUAUCUACCCACAUCGGGGAGAUUCAAAUUUAAAGAGGUUCCUUCAGACCUGUAAGCUGAGUGCCGAGGGGGUGGCACGAGUCCUGACUACCCAGGAGGUGGUUGCAAUGGCACUGCAAGUGGUGCAUGCCAUGCAGUUCCUGCACAAGAAGAGACUGCUGCAUCGCGAUCUGGCGACACGGAACUGCAUGGUGGACCAGCAGCUUAAGGUGCAGGUGGCUGACAAUGCUUUAUCCCGUGACCUGUUCCCAGCAGACUAUCACUGUUUGGGUGACAAUGAGAAUCGCCCAGUCAAGUGGCUCGCCAUUGAGAGUCUGGUGCACGCAAAUUUCUCCACAGCAUCUGAUGUGUGGUCAUUUGGUGUUCUGCUGUGGGAGCUUACAACUCUUGCCCAACAGCCAUAUGUGGAGGUGGACCCCUUUGAAAUGGCAGCCUACUUGAGGGAUGGAUACCGUCUUGCACAGCCAAUUAACUGCCCUGAUGAACUGUUUGCUGUGAUGGCGUACUGCUGGGCAAUGAGUGCAGAUGAGCGACCAACUUUCACGCAGCUUCACAUCUGUUUACAAGAAUUCUACACCCAACUCACACGCUAUGUGUAAUAACAUUUUUUUGUAAGAGUCAUAACUCUGCUACAGGAUAGUCUACAGUGGAUAUUCUCAGCCCGUAACCUACUUGAGGAAAGAACAGAAGUUACAGGAAUAAUGCUGGCAGAUAUUCACACCAGCAACAUUCAAGAUCCACUUAGCAUUCUACACUGCCAUACCUACAGUAAACCAGUGCCAUGUGGAAGGUUUCUACAUGAAGCUGAAGCAGAAAUGUAACUGAUGCAGUAAGAGACUAGUCACAGCUUCUGCAUGUAAUUUGAAAUAGUCUGAAUGGAAAAAGAGAAAGACGUGUGGAUGAUGUAUGUUCCUCGUAUCCAUGAUCAUUACAAGCAUUGAAAGUAAGAAAACAUAUAAGGGUGUAGUUUAAAUUUUAAUUUACUACAAUUCCUAGGUAAAAUAGAUUAUUUAUUCUCAAUACAGUAAAACCUACUUAUAAUGGAAUCCCAUAAGAUAUCAUUUUUCUCUUGCAGACAGGUUAUUCUUUAAUAGCUGCUUACUUCUAGAAAAAAAUUUGCAUUGUGUACUGUAUUUAUGAUCUUAAUCAUAAGUAAGGAAUUCUUGCUACACAGUGUCUGUCCACCACACUGUCGUUGAGAAGUAUGUAUUUUCAUUUUUUAUCUUUCCUUCCUUCCCUUGCUUUUUUGUUUCCUUUCCUUUUCUUCCAUGUGCAGCCAUCCAAGCGUGAAAUUUGCGUUAUUAAGUGGUGAUAACACAAUUUCACUGCUGAAUUAUCUCUGAAAGGGUGGGAUAUAUUGACCUUGAGGUGGAGGUAGGAACUGGGAAUUAGAUGAAGUUUAGUUGUGUGCCAGUGAAUAAAUUCACAAGAAUUGUUUUAAUUAUGUUCUAGCUGUUGCAAUUUCACAUGUAAUUUAGAUUGGUUAGGUCUGGUAGAAACACUUUUCUAUUCUCAGUUUUGUGUAAAAGUGGUAACUCAGAUAUCUGGGAACCACACAUUAAUGCUAUUGCAUUAACCAUUAUGGAAAUGACAACACUCUUAACUUUCAUGUGUAGUGUUUUUUUAUUGUGGUGUUAGUAACUGUAGUAGUCACAAAAUUUGAAUAUUUAUGGUAGGCCAUACUUUAAACUUUAUAUAAUGUUUAUAUGAAGGUUUACUUAUUCCCAGAUUUUUUAUCGAUUUAUUUUACCUAGUUGCUAAUAGUUGAGUUGUAGACUGGCCACUGAUCACACAUUUACACUCUGUAUUUGUCAGUCAACACCAAGCUCCUUCUUAUGACAAGUUCAUGAAUAGGAAUAUCAAGGUCAGGUGAAGGAAAAGCAGGGAACAGGUGUUAAAUUGGUCUCAGAAGGAAUUUUAUCUUUGAUGAUGUAAGUGCAUUGGGUUUCUCGCUUUUGAUAUGUAAACUUAGAUGAUUAGCUUCAGAAAAUCUAUUGACUCUAGUCUGAAGGUGUGUUUUAAUUGGCAGUAACUCCAGAAUGCAGAGGCUACACUACUGUGCUGAAUAAAUUGCAAUUUGAUGUAGUGAUCACUUUCAUUGUUUAUUUGUGUUACUUCUGAUCACUUUCCUUUAUUAUUUAGUUGCUGUUCAAAUAGCUAUCUACAAAGUGAGAUGUAAAUUAGAUUAAUACAAGCAAAGUCAUAAGUAAACUAUCACAUUUCUUUCCUGUUUAUAAAGUCCAGAAUUAUUUACCUAACUUUAGAAUCUGCCUCAUGAUUUGUGCUUCCAAAGAUUAUUCAGUGAACUCCUGGAGGUUUAUGUAGGCCAUUUAAUUUAGAAUUUAUUAGAUCAUGCUGAAUUUACAUGUGUCUCUUUUGAAAUUAGAAGCUUCCAGCCAAAGUGCAUAAACCCAGACUUGAAUAUGCAGAUCAAAGCAAGUCACAAUUUAAAUUAUAACUGCACCCAACUGACAAAAUACAUGGGCUGGUGGGGUAAGAAUCUUAGGUAAACCAGUCAGGUUCCCUUGCUGAACAGUUCUUUGUUUACAGAAGAACUUCUGUAGACACAUCUGGAACCCAGUUAUAUCCCAUGUACUACCAGCUGGUAACAACUUCCUGUCUCUAAUUACUGGCUAGCAAUAAAUGUCAAAUUCACACAACUCCAAAAAGUUGUAAACCCAUUAGAACACUUGUUUCUAAAGCAUUGUUACAUUUCCCCUUUCAAGACAUUAAAUCUCCAUGUGAAGUAAACUAAAUAUACAUCCUAUAAAAGAAAUCAAUAAAUCUAACGUUAAUGUACAUAAUGAAACAUAAACUCUGAACUGACACAGAUGGAACUCGUCAAAGGUAAUUUACACAGAAGAUCUAAAUGGCUUCACAGGCUAUUGAUUUAGAGUUUAAGUGGGACCAACUUAUAUACAGCCAAGGAAUUAAGAUACAAAGUGUUUCCAGACAAUCUUUCCUGCAAGAACUUGGCUCUGUUCCCAAAGGAAUUCAAAUCAACUGCAGCAAACUAAGGACAAGAAUUUGUCUGUAGUUGGUUGAUGUUAACAGACCAAAGUUAUUGUAUAAUGUGCAUGGUCCAAUUAUGUAACAAUGCUGAGUUAAAAUAGCUGUUAAAAAUAUGUUAUUCCAUACAUAGUUUCAGUAAACUGUCACUUUGGCUUUCAUAACUAUCUACUCCAAGACAAAUCCCCAGUUGUAUCAAUGAAAAAUACUGAUUGCAGUCUCCAGAUACUUCAAGAACCCCUCAACUCCCCCUGCUUUGUUUUUCAUUUGGUCACUAAAACUGAAUGCGUGUUAAGGCAUAUGUCCUACCUCAGAUGUAAUGGAAUAUGUCCUAACAUUAGUAAAUAUAUCAAAUACCUGCUAAUUAACAUCAAAUAAAUCAGUCACUAAUAUGUCAGUAAAUUCAUAGGCACAUUUUGGACCAUUAUACUUGUUUCUUCAGCUGUUUAUUAAUGUUUUUAAUGGUCAAGCUUAAGUCUUUUCUGUUCGCAACAAUAAUGUCAUUUCUCAUACGAAUUCCAGAGACCACAGUCUCCUCAUUCUUUUCCUGCAUACCUUGGAAACGUUAUAAUAGGUUUACAUUCCAUAAUCAUUUUUGGGGUAUUCUUAUAAUUUCCAUCCUUUCAUUGUAGUCUGCCAUUCCUUUCUACACCAUCUAUCUUUAAAAAUUAUUUUAGAUUAAGAAGAACAGUACAGAACAUUUCCUUUUGUUUCCAUUAACAAUAAUUAACAGUAGUUUUUACUCUUAUGUUUUGAGGACCAAAUGUGGACAGAUUUUUGUUUAAUCUGCAUUCCAUUUUAGGAGGGUUUUACUGCACUACUUUAUUGUCAUUUUCUUUUAGCUGGAAUAUGUUUAAAGAUUUUAUAACCUGAGGUAAAAAUAAACCUCAGCUUAAAGUAGGGUUAAAGGUGAAGACCAUUUUAGGAUGGAAAUAACAUGUUAGGUAGUCCUGCCCAUGGACAAUAAACAAUGAGUUUGAAGUUGACAAAAUGGAACUGAAAUAGUGCACAGUGUAUUUCUUGGCUGUACAUAUUUUGUAUGAGGUGUCUUGAGAUUGAACUGUAGCCUCCAUAGAGAGAAGCCUUUAGCACAGACAUAGCAAUUUUAAUUCCCCACAGUCAUUCAUAUCAUCUUUAUCAGUGCAAAUUGAAAUCAUUUCAUGCUGCAUUCAAACAUUCUCCUUUUCUUGGGAACAAGGAAUGUGGUCUGAAAUGAUUGCCAUCAUUUUGAAUUUAAGUUUUGGCACCAACCAUCAAUCUUCCUGCCAUAUUUAAUUUAUGAUUGUUUUCUUCAACAGUAAAAUUUUUGAACCAUAUUAUUUAGGUGCUUGGUUCACGUUUUGGCUGGGGCUAGGAGCCUGAUUAUGACACCAUGGAUGGUGGAUCAUACCAUCAGUAGCAGAGCAGUACCUGCUCUUUACAAUAGGAAAUGAGACUUUCGAUGUAGGAUGACAUGGCAGUGAUAAGAAAAUGAGUUCACUGGUACUGUUGUAAUCAUUCUCAGGACUUUGUUUGCAUAACAUUUAUGCAUGUAAUCCUGUGCUUCACCUGUUGUAUAAAUUUGUUAUUAAUGGAAAAGGCUGAGGAAUGCAUAUACAGCAUUGUUGUGUAUAGAAGGCUGUUAUGUCUUGUGCCUCUUUAAUAUUUAUUGGUGCCUUUUUAAAUGGCAAUGCCUUUUGGUAGAAAAAAUUAAAUAAAUGUAAAGAAAACAUGAUUACAGGUGGUAAGAUGUGUUUGAAUGUCAGUGAAGUGAGAAAUGUGUAUGAAUUUAAAUGUUGAUUUACCUCUACACUUAACUAAUUGAUGCAGCAUUAUGUAUUUCACUGUUGGGUUUGAAUUUUAAUUUUAAUGUUUCUGAAGUAAAACUGAAAUAAGAAACUGGUACAUGGAAAUUAUCAGUAAAAUUAUUGAUCCAACUAAUUUGGUACUGUAGGUCCAAAUGGUAGUUAGGAUCCAAUAUGUAUGGUGUAUGUGUAUGUUUACACGCAUAUGUAUGUGAGUGCAUGUAUGUAAACUCACCCUUUGUGUUUAAUCAUGCACGCUUUGAUAGAAGGAAGAUUAUUUAAAAUUGCGAGGUUAGAAUUCCUAUAAUGAUGAUUAUGAAAUGUAACUAUCUUGUGGAACUUGACAUCUUAUAAUUUGAUAGAAAUUACAGAUGUUUUCGAGAAACAUACUUUCUCAAUCUUCAAUCUUUCUCCUUGCUAUUUACUAUUUUGCUUUUUGGCUUGCUCUGAAGCAUCACAAAAUUUGUAUCAGACAACACAAUGUCAAGUUCCAGAAGAUACAAACAUAAAAUUCUCUUCAAAUAUAAAUCUGUUUUGAGAACUUUUGACUGAUAUGAGCACUUCCAGUUUGGUUGCAGUGGGCACUGUCAUUGAAGUAUAACUUCAGGCAAUUGCUUUUCAUAACACAGCCCAUAACUACAUCAUGAGGUCUUUAUAUGAUUUUGUGUGUUAAUGUAUAAGGUUUUCGUCUUAUUUAUAUGCUUUAGAUUAAAAAAUCAUAAACAUCUUAAGGGUUCACUCAGCAUGCCAGCAGCCAUUUAUGAUUUGUUUGACAUUGUCCUUGAAUUUUAUACAGGAAGUGUAGUAUACAUGAAGAAAUGUAUGCUAGUGUAAGAUGAAUUACAAAAAACAUAGAAGGUUCUAACAGCUUGCUGCCCCUCCUUUCCCUGGUUGCUGCUAAUCAUCGUGUGACACUUUUAACUGCUCUGAGGCCUGGCUGUAGUCAACACUUGUAGCAGAAGCAGAUCGGUCUCUAGUAGACUUGCUGCUCAUUGAAAUUAUAUUGCACUACUUCCCUGUCUUGUGGAUGACAAGAAGUUGGGUGGGAAGGAAGGGUAGUUGUGGUUGAUAGCGUUCUUAUUGUUAUUAUUAGGCAAGAGUUAUCUUUACCUACAAUUACUAAGGUGUCUCAUAAGUAGGGACAAGUCAGGAGUAGCUAGGCUGUACUAAGUUAUAAUAGGUGAUUUCUCAUUUAGGGUCAUACCAGGCAUAGCUCAGGCAGGACAGGAAGAUCCUAAUGCUACAGCCACAUACACCACACCAAGGUUUUGCACUUCACAUUGUUUAUUAAACCCUUUGUUAACACAAUCACACUGUUCUUAACAGAAACCAAUUUAUGCUUCCACUUAUGUGAAUACAAAACUUUAUAUGAAUGAUGUCACAAGAAAUUAUAAGGCAUCAGAGUGACACAAUUUUUUGCGUCUGAAUAAACCAAAAGUUGAACUCUCUGAAAUCCUGAGGUCUGUCAAGCCCCAGCAUCCAAGAGAAGUCCACUCCUUCAACAUGUGUUAUUGGUCAAUUUUGAAAACUAGGAAGUUUCCUAAUUUCGUGAAUUUUCAAUCAUAUUGUUUUGCCAUGCAAUUGUGCCUUUUACAUACCUAACACUAGACUUAACAGCUCCCUGAUGUAUCAGCUUGUCCCUCAUACUUAAAAUUUAUAGCUUAUCUUAACUGUCAGACCUUUCACAGUAGCUAAAACUACCAGAAUUCUAGAAAAUAUGGCAGAUGUUAUGUCCUGUCCACAUCGCAAUACUGGAACUAUGCCACUUGCUAAACAUAAGGUGACUAUCUGCCUGAUCUUGUUUAUUAUUUAUAUGGCCAUAAAUUAUUAAAUCUUAAUAUGGAUUAUGCUAGAAGAGUAUAAUGAACGGUUACAGCGUUAAAAAUAUAUACUAGUACUACCACAUACUUAAUGUAUAACAUAGUCAUGUAGAAGACAGUUCUCGCAAAAAAAAAAAAUUUAAGCAUCUGAAACGUUUGAAAGGACAUACAACCACAGACAAUAACAUCGAGUUAAUGUUCAAGUUUGUAACAAAAAUAUAUACCCCCGAAGAUGACAUUGUAGAUGUCAAAAUAUGUCAAGUAAACAGCCAACCUAAGUGUGUUGUAAUGGAUGGUAUAUGAUAAAUUAUAAUAAAUAAUGAAAUGGGUUGAAUCCUGCUUAGCACAUGGAUAUAUGAGUAUAUGUAUCCAUGACUACCAAUUAUCCCAAUCCUCACUGUGGAGUUUCUGACACUACAUGCGGUAACAUGUGUGGAAAGUUGUAAUUCAUUUUGUAGUAUUUAUCUCUCUGCCAAAAAAAGUAUCUGACCUUGGGCCAGGAAAACAAUGUUCUGUAUCAGGGUGGUUACAGUAUCUAAUCCCCUUCAAAGUAGGCCCCUUGUGACUCCACACACUUAGCCCAGCAGUCCUUCCAUCACUGGAAGGAAUUCUGGAAGGCUUGUUUUGGAAUGAUUUGCAGCUGCACCAUCACAUUUCCUAUAUGAUGUCCUCGCGGCUGUCAAAACGGGAGCCUUUUAGUGGUGUCUUCAAUCUCGGGAACAGCCAGAAAUCACAAAGAGCCAUGUCAGGAGAGUAGGGAGCCUGGCAAAACCUGUGGAAUGGUGUGCUUGACCAGGAAACCCUGGAUCAGGUGGUAUUCCCCCAAAUGACCCACGUUCAGGGUGUUAUAAGCUAUAUUCCUGUCAUCUCAGAAAUCGUUCACCACGUUUGUUCAGUGCAUGCCGUGAUUUCCCAAUGUAUUGCUAUCAAGACUGCCAUAAAUGAUACUUAACGUGUUUGUGGUAACAUUAGUCUAUGAAUUUCCUAACUGCUGCAGCUUUUCUGCAACAUCUCUGCUCUAAUUAAUUUAAAUAAACUAUUACAAAUGUUUGAAUCCGCAGAAUUGUGAGAUAUUACAAAAAUUUCUUUGCAUCUAUAUGAAAGAAUUUCAUAAUUAUAAUGUUAAAUUUCAAUAUGUUAUACAUCUGAGGCACUAUUCAUUAAAGUUUAGUCACAAAAAUAGGAAGAUAUGAAGUGGACAUCCAUGACUUGAAGCUGACCCUUAAUGUCCGGAAAAUGUGGGAACAGUCCUGUAAUAGUAUGUGUCUGUUCACAGAGUAACAUUGUAAGGAAACGUGUGCUUCAAUAAAUAUUAUUCACAUAGAAAUGUGAAAACAAAAUUCAUAGAAAGUGAAGGCAUAAGUACUUUCUGCUGUAUACGUUUUGUUUGUGAUGUUCUUCAUUCCUCCUCCAAAUCUGAACAAAUUACAUGACUCUGAAUUGACAAGGUAUAAAGCAUUUAGAAUAAACGUAACCCAGAUUAUGUCAGCUAUAUGUCCUUUUCAUUUCUCAUUUAUAUUAAUUAUAAUUUUUUGCAGAUGCAGAUCUGUUGGUGACAGGUUUAGUAACUGCAGAGGGAGACACUGUUAUAUCAUAUUUUGGUGAAAUCUACACCAUAUCGAACUGUGUCUGAAAGAACAUUUGUAAAUUUGAAUAAGAUCUAUAGUUUAUAUAAUCCAGAUUUUCAUGCACUCUUCUGUACUUAGAACUUACAUAAAGUUAAACCUGAGUGCCAUGCAAUGUGAGGGUUAUAGGAGACUGGUAAUGUUCCAAAAUGUAAAUAGCUGUAGACUUGCUGUAGUUUCCUGAGCAGUGAAUUUCGUCCAAAUAUGUUGAAUGGUUUUGGAAGGAAAGUGUGCAAACAGAAAGUAACUUCACAUUAUGCAGUCACGUUUCAAUUUCAUGCAGGGAACACAUUAUGACCAAGCCAGACUUCAAACUAUAUUUGUUAAAACAAUAGUCAAGAAGAAGCUGGCAGCUGGGGCUGUUAAUGUGACAUCCUUGCUUGACUGUCCACAUCUUGCAUAGGUUUAAUUAAAUUUGUAGAUAACGGUAUUUAUAAAUAGGAUGCAUUUAUACUUUAAAAUAUAUGUUUAUCUUUCACCUAAGUGUACAAUAAUACUUGUAUUAGACCAAUUUAAUAUAAAAUGUACAAUAUUUUGUAAUUCAAGAUGAAUGUAGAUUUUUUACAAAGGUGUGUAAGAAAUGAAUAUCAUAAUUCAGGUACCGUGAAGUGUGAACAGUAAUUUAUUGUAGUCAUUUGUAUAAAUUUUUUUCAUGACAUUAAUUGAACCUGGUCUUAAAUAUGUUCUGUAUAUAUGUCGAAUAAUAAAACUUCCAAGUUUUGUA